AGCUCUGGGGUGUCACACAUCAGAUUGCAAAUCUGAAGAAGCGAGCGAACCUCUCGCCGGGGCUU
rnacentral:tRNA from 1 species